GUGACACAGCGAUAGGCGGAUAGAGACUUACUUCAAAGGGACAAGGAGGGAUGUAUUUCAAGCUCUUUUUACUAUGGAUUUUACUAGACCAAUCGAGCAUAUUGGCCCUCGAGUGUUUUAACUGCUUGAACAUCCGUGAUGGCGAGGUCUGCAAUCACACAGCAGUUUGCAAUAAUGACGAGUCAUGUUACAAAGAUUCUGCUCUAUCAGGAUAGACAAAAACCGCAUCUUUAGGGUGCAUAAACAACAAGCAAUGCAGUUUUAAAUCGAGUGGUGCUAGCAGUCUGGUAGGACGGGACAUCAGAAAGAGACAAGGAGAUCGAUGCCAUGAAUGUUGCGCUACAGACCGUUGUAAUGAGAUCCUCUGCUCUCACCGAAAGCCCUCUUUGUGUGUUGAUGAGGAAACAGUUGACUGUCCACGAAUGGAGUCCGUGUUUGGAAUAUGCAGGGAUAUACAACAUGCAAAAUCAGUGUGUCCAAAAUUCUGUGGACUUUGUAAUGUAGUUGAUGGUGCUUGGACAGAAUGGUCAUCCUGGUCUACAUGUAGUGUUACUUGUGAAAACGGGACCACGUCACGGUCAAGGACGUGUACAAACCCUGCUCCAGCCCAUGGAGGUCUAGGUUGUACGGGAAACAAUGACCAACAGAGUCAAUGCCAAAACAAACCCUGUCCAGUUGACGGAGGAUGGAGUGAAUGGACACCCUGGGGAACCUGCUCCGCCACUUGUGAUGUCGGUUUACAAAGAAGACAGCGUACAUGCACAAAUCCGUCACCAGUGAGGUUUGGGGACCAUUGUUUCGGUGUCAACCUUGACGUUCGGUUAUGUAUGCCGUCAGCUUGUGCAGGUGUGUCAUUUUUUGGCAACAUAAACUCAUUCCGUUACUGGAUGUUUACAUGGACAAACGAUUGUUUUCGACAGCAUCAAAAUUAAUCAAGGUUCUGCCUACAACAGGACAAAUGGGAGAUUUACUGCACCAAGAAG
rnacentral:misc_RNA from 1 species